AAACUAACAGUACAGUGUGAGGAGAGUCUGACAGCACAGCCAAAACUCCACAUAUUAAACACAUGUCCACUGAGCUAUUCUGCAGUGUGCAAAGAACAUACAGAGAACUGCUGUUACAAAUGGUCAAUAAGUCUCUUGGAUUUAACAUCUAUGAUCUAAAUGAGAGGAACAAACUUGUAAAUAAUUUCCUGGGGCUGUGGUUUUGUAAUGCAGUUGUUGGAUGGCUCCCCUAUAGACUUCCAUUGAAAGAGCAUAACUGUCAUAUGGUUAUAUUGUUAUGCCUUUUGGUCAUUUUAUCUACUCAAGCAAUCGACAGAUAAAUCAACUGAAUACUUAGAGAUGGAGGGUUUGGCAGUGGUGUAUUUUAAUUUACAUUUUUUAAUUUGUCUGUUGUAUCUCGCAGGUUUUUUUUUCAGUGUCUUGCGGCAUGAGCGUUGUGUUUUUAAGACAGCAUGUCAAGUUAUAAAUAGUUCAACUCUUUAAAAAAAAAAAAAAGAAAAAAAGACAACGAGGCUCCUGCAUUCUGUUCUAUUCAGUUGCACUUUGUCUAAAUGUUUUAUAUAAGGAAGAAAGUGUCCUGUGUGAAUGUCCUUAAUACUCUACAAAUAGAUUCUUGCUGCCCCGGAAUGAAUGAGGCAACAUAAAGCAUUGACACAAAUGGAUGUGACAAAUCGGACCGCAAGGUACUGCCAAAAAAAAUGGCUUAACCAAUCACAAAAUGAAAAAUUAUGUUUUUGUACAUUUAUGUAUGGUUAUUACUGGAUUUUAAUCAGUCUGAAAUGUUUUGAAAAAUGUGAAGUCACGCAAUUACUGUGUUUUCAUGACAGAUUCUUGCUGUCACUUCCGAGUACUCUAGUACAUGAACUUGUGCUCGUCCCAAACCGAAGCACAAGUUUAAAUUAUUUUCUGUGGUUAUCAACAACAUGGCAUAGACACUGCAUAUAGAGCUUAACCUGGAACAUUCCUUUAAGAAACUUGCUGGAGAGAUAAAAAUGACAAAUUUCCUGUUUGUGAUGUUUUCUGUUUCCUGUCUGUUAAAAGGUUCUUUAUACGAUGAAUAAGGAGGAAGCGGGAGCUGUUUCCACAGUCCACAGCCACGCCUGUGAGAACACAGCAGAGAACUUUAGAAAGGUUCUGAGAACAUUCCUUCACCAAAGCCUCCUCAAGAUCCCAAACAACCCAUUUCUGUGCCCUUGGGCCAUGGCUUGGGCACCGUCCAGGCAUCAUGAUGAACAGGGGGCAGUGGGGAAUGGUCAGGGCCACUUGACCUACCAUGACCUUGUUUAUUUUUCAGUCAUUGGGGGCAAGCAGGGGGAUGGUUUACACAAACUGCCACAAUAUAACAAGCAUUCCACUGUGAAGGCAGAAGAGUUCCACAUGGACUGCUGAAGAUUCAGGGGGCGAUAUGCAGGAAGACUGCAAAUCACCAAAAACAGAAGAAGGAGAAAGUGAAUGAAAAAGGACUUAAAUAUUGAUCUGUUUCUCACCCACACCUAUCAUAUCACUUCAGAAGAUAUGGAUUUAACCACCAGAGUCGUCUGGAGUACUUUUAUGUUGCCCUUAUGUGGAUUUUGGAGCUUCCAACUUUUGGCACCCAUUCACUUGACUUGUAUGGACCUACAGAGCUGAAAUAUUCUUCUAAAAAUCUUCAUUUAAGUUCAGCAGAUGAAAUUAAGUAAUACACAUCUGGGAUGGCAGGUUAAGUAAAUUAUGUGAGAAUUUUCAUUUUUGGGUGAACUAUCCCUUUAAUACAGGAGUACAAAUGUGGUUAAAUAUAGUCACCACUAAUCAAUAAUCACUAAAACUGCAACAUUUACCUACAUACAGUAUGUUUUACUAAAAUACCUUGGUACAUGUAAAAUGCCAUGCAGGGACUGGAAAUGUUUGGAGUGGUGAUGCAAAUGAAUAAUUGAAUCACAGUUUUUAAAUGAUUAAUUGAAAUGGACAGUUUUCACUGAUCCACUAAAAAAAUGAAUUGAUAUUAAAAUAUUUCUUUUUUUUACACUUUUACACUUGUGAUGUGCAAGACAGGGACAGAUUGUGAAACAAGUAUAAUAACACACUUAAUGGCUUUAAACUUAAUGGCCAAAUUAACAGCACAUUAAAAUCACAUUCAUUAUAUAAAUUAUUAUACAUAAAUGUUAUUAUUAUAAUAUAAAAAUAUAAAAUACAAAUAAAAUAAAAUAUUAAAUAUGAAAAAUAUUACAUCAAUAUACUGUAUGUGUAAUAUUCUAUAGAAAUACUCCUAAAUUCGCAAUUGUGGAUCCAAAAUAAUAAUCUUAAUUCAUAUAGCAUCCGUACACUCAAAACACACUGGAGUUUUGUUUCUAGGAUUGUGUAUGUAUGUUUUUCACCACUUGGUGAAGAGCAUCAAGCUUCCCUUGACUAUAAUAAGGAAGUGGGGAAGGGCGGAGAGAACUGUGGCUGAUGUUCUGUGGUUUGUAUGCGGUGAUGCUUCUGUUGUGCAUCUGUCCAGUGUUUAUAAUUCACAAUGACU